GCACCUUCUCAGGACAAGGCCAAGGCAAACGUGUAACUUCGAUUUGGUGUUGGGGCCAGCAAUAGGUCACAAUCUCCCCUGUGGGCAGAACCUAGGAAGAAGAGAAAAGUCACAUGAGCUAGAUUUAUUAAGGUUUCUAAACUGCUCUUCUCAGUGUCACCAAUCACAUGGACGUCACAAAUCACUGCAAAGUCAACAGACUCUUGUCUGCCCGCACAGUCUUCAGAAAAUGUGUCCAGGUGAAUUCAAAGCAAGGCAUUCUAAUUAGAACAAUGUACAGAAGGAAAGAAGGUAUGAGAGUCUGAGGGGAGUUUGAGGAACAGAAAGUAGACAGGGCAUCUCUGAAUUGGGGACUCUGAUUGGCCCAGAAGGAAUCAACUACUAUGUCUGCGUGCAUAAGAACAGAGAUAGGCAAAGUUGGCUGUAUGAAAUGGAACAUCCGGGCCACGUGCAGUGGCUCACACCUGUAAUCCCAGCACUUUGGGAGGCUGAGGCAGGAGGAUCACGAGGUCAGCAGGUCAAGACCAUCCUGGCUAACACAGUGAAACCCCAUCUCCACUAAAAAUAAAAAUAAAAAUAAUUAGCUGGGCAUGGUGGCACAUGCCUGUAAUCCCAGAUACUCAGGAGGCUGAAGCAGGAGAACUGCUUGAAUCCGGGAGGCAGAAGUUGCAGUGAGCCAAGAUCAUGCCACUGCACUGCAGCCUGGGUGACAGAGUAAGACUCCAUCUCAAAAAACAAACAAACAAACAAACAAAUAAAACAAAACAAAACAAAAAGAAAUGGAACAUCCUUGAGGCAAGCAAAAUCUAAAGAAUAACUGCUUAGGGUAGAAUAUUGGUUAAAUCCUGAGUCAACGUCUUGACUUAAAAGUGAAAGGUGCAAUGGCAAGUGUGUAGCACAUCAUGGGUGCACCACCCAAAUCCUCUCAGCCCUUCUCACUCCAGCCACUACUUCAGUGACCGGGGCUGAGCAGCCUUGUGGCAACUUCAGACAGAUGCUACCUGACUCUUGCUUCUUGCCAUGGGAUGAGCUGAUGCCAUGGCCUGCAGCAUCUGUGCACCUCAGCCUCAGUCCUUGCACAACCCAGAGAUGCCAGAGAGUGAACGCCUUGGGCUACCUUUCACCAAGCGGGGUUAGGGGCUGAGAAAGAGCUCCUAAGGCUCCUCAGAAAUGUUCUGCCCUAGUGAUGGCAAAUCCCAUACUCAUCCUUGUCUUGCCUUUCCCCUCAUCCGCAAGCUCUCCUCCUACACCUGUAGUCCCCAUUCUUGAUCUCAAUGAUCACAUCCCAAAUAGUCUACUUGCAUGCAAGCCUCUGUUUCAGGUCCCUGCCUUCAUGGGAACCCAGGCUGUGGAAACACUAGGUAAAAAUAAAUUAUCUACAGAAAGUCAGGGUCAGUCAGCAGAGGGUUGUGAAUGUCAAGGAGCCACAAAAGCAGAGUUGGGCUUUUGUGCAAACAAAUGCAGCAGAUCUGCAUGCCAGGGCGGUCCAGGGGAAAUCCCAAUAUUCCAAAUACAGUGAGAGACCCUAGGCAUCUUGGCUGGGCACCACAGAUAAUGUGCGGUUUCUUUACUGAACUUGCCCAUUCGAAUCCCAUCUGGCCAAGCAGUUUCUCAUCACUGUUUUGCAUUGUAUGGUCUAUGGCAGAGAAAGCACUGGUCAUAGCCCCUAUUUGCAUUUGGUGCCCACAGUGAAUGCCCCAUUCACAGAUUUUGAAGCUGCAGACUGAUCACCAGGAUCUGGAUGGUCAGGGCCACAGGCCUGGAGGCAGCAGGCCUUCUCUGCGCCUUGCCAAGCUGGACUUUCUCACACUUGCUGCACGAGCUGCUUCUCAGGAUAGGUGUGAAGGUUGAGGAGUGAGAGAGGGCAUGCCAAUGGCCAAGCACAGUCCCUCGUACACAGUAGGUGCUCUGGAAAGGCAGUUACACUGAUAGUAGACUGCAGGCAACAAUCAGAGGUCAUGGGUUCACGUGGGAGGGCCCCCAAUGUUUCUGGGGAGUCCUGCAGCCUCAUCCAAUAGGCAUUUGUCCUCUUAGUCCAACAAGCUAUCUGCCCUGGGUGUCAGCACUGAAUUUUCUCUGACAUUUUCCCUUUUCUUUUCUUCCUAUAAAUGAGAAAUGAAGUAUAAAAAGUUGUGCACAGCCUCCUGCCUGCAUCACGGCUCUUAGGCGAGAUGUUGGCAUUUAAAUGCCAGACAAUCUGGUGAAGUCAGGAUGAGGCCAGCCCCAGGCUUGUCUUGGGGUCAGGGGUAAGGGGCAGGGGUCCCCUCUGGUUUCUGAUUUAAUAAGAGGAUUGCUUCCAGCCAAAUGCAGGGCCAGCAAGGUCAGCAUUGAACACACGCAGCUCCACUGAGAAAUAAAGGGGCCAGAUGGUUAUUACACUGUGUGUGUUUCUUAUAAAAGGCAAAAAAAAAAAAAAAUUCUAGAGUGACUGCAGCAGAGGCUGUUCAUCAGCAGAGGCACAGUUCAGGGAGGCCUGUGGUUUGGUGCUGCUCCCCGGGGGAGGUGUACUUGUGAGGAGUUUCAACACGCCUGCAGAUCCCAUGAAGAUUUGGCUGUGGGCAGAAGCCACAGGGAUGGAGAGAGGCACAGCCACUUUGUGAAAAUGGAAAACACGCCACCCUCAUCUUAGCUUUCUUAGUUUCCCAUUUUGAUGCUCCAGAAAGCUUCUUAAGGGACAGCUGAUGACCACUGUAGCAGCUGACAGCCGUCACCACUACAGCCGUGUGAGUCCAACCUCACUCUGCCCCUCCCAGGGUAUAAACAUGAGCAACUCCAUUGAUCACACUAACUUUAGUUUGCUCUAUUGCAAGUAUGGACUAGAAACAUGUGACUCAUCCUCUAAUAACAAGGUAAUAUCAGAUAAUGUACCUAAGCCCCUGGUGCACAUCAGGCACUCCAGAAACACUGAGUGCCCCUCCUUCAUUCCUGGAGUCAAAUACAAGGGCAUUGAGAAGCCCUGAAGGAAGCCUCAUCAUCCCUUCCGGAGGAGGUGGAUGAAUGAGGAGCCCCAAGGAGUCACGCUGUUCAGCCCACUCAAACAAGGCUUGCGCCUGCUCCAUCUCAGGGUGUUCACUGUGGAGCGCCCAGAACCAGGAGCUCUCUGUGCUGAUGUGGCCCUCUUAAGGAUGGUGGUGGCAUUGUCACUGCUCUCCCAUGUUAAUUAACUGGGUUGUUAUUCCAAAGUGUUAA